UGGGCUAUGGUGUAAUUGGCAACACGAAGGUUUCUGGUUCCUUUGUUCUAGGUUCGAGUCCUGGUAGCCCAGC
rnacentral:tRNA from 8 species